rnacentral:rRNA from 1 species
UAGCAAUACCGAAGAAAGUCUAGUGGCGAACGGGUGCGUAACACGUGGGCAAUCUGCCUUAAAGUGGGGGAUAGCUCGGCGAAAGCCGGAUUAAUACCGCAUGUGAUUACCGGAGACAUCUUCGGAACAUCAAAGUCGGGGCAACCUGACGCUUUUUGAGGAGCCCGCGGCCUAUUAGCUAGUUGGUGAGGUAACGGCUCACCAAGGCUUUGACGGGUAGCUGGUCUGAGAGGACGACCAGUCACACUGGAACUGAGACACGGUCCAGACACCUACGGGUGGCAGCAGUCGAGAAUUUUUCUCAAUGGGGGAAACCCUGAAGGAGCGACGCCGCGUGGAGGAUGAAGGUCUUCGGGUUGUAAACUCCUGUCAUUUGGGAACAAUGCUUACGUAUUAACUGUACGUGAGUUGAUAGUACCAGAAGAGGAAGAGACGGCUAACUCUGUGCCAGCAGCCGCGGUAAUACAGAGGUCUCAAGCGUUGUUCGGAUUCAUUGGGCGUAAAGGGUGUGUAGGUGGCGCGCUAAGUCGGGUGUGAAAUUUUCGGAGCUUAACUCCGAAACUGCAUUCGAUACUGGCGUGCUUGAGGACUGGAGAGGAGACUGGAAAUUCACGGUGUAGCAA